rnacentral:rRNA from 1 species
UACGGGGGGGGCAAGCGUUGUUCGGAAUUACUGGGCGUAAAGGGCUCGUAGGUGGCCAACUAAGUCAGACGUGAAAUCCCUCGGCUUAACCGGGGAACUGCGUCUGAUACUGGAUGGCUUGAGUUCGGGAGAGGGAUGCGGAAUUCCAGGUGUAGCGGUGAAAUGCGUAGAUAUCUGGAGGAACACCAGUGGCGAAAGCGGGUUUCUGGGCGACACCUGACGCUGAGGCACGAAAGCCAGGGGAGCAAACGGG